rnacentral:rRNA from 1 species
GGUUGUUUAAUAAGUCUGUUGUUAAAGACUAGGGCUUAACCCUAGGAAAGCAAUGGAAACUACUAGACUUGAGUAUGAUAGGGGUAGAGGGAAUUUCUAGUGUAGCGGUGAAAUGCGUAGAUAUUAGGAAGAACACCGGUGGCGAAGGCGCUCUACUGGAUCAUUACUGACACUCAGAGGCGAAAGCUAGGGUAGCAAAAGGGAUUAGAUACCCCUGUAGUCCUAGCCGUAAACGAUGGAUACUAGAUGUUGUGUUUAUUAUGCAGUAUCGCAGCUAACGCGUUAAGUAUCCCGCCUGGGGAGUACGCUCGCAAGGGUGAAACUCAAAGGAAUUGACGGGGGCCCGCACAAGCGGUGGAGCAUGUGGUUUAAUUCGAUGCAACGCGAAGAACCUUACCAAGGCUUGACAUACUACAAAUUUUUCUGAGAAGAGAAAGUGCCUUCGGGAAUGUAGAUACAGGUGGUGCAUGGCUGUCGUCAGCUCGUGUCGUGAGAUGUUGGGUUAAGUCCCGCAACGAGCGCAACCCUUGUUUUUAGUUGCCAAUUUAUUGGGUUUUCUAGAAAGACUGCCGGUGACAAACCGGAGGAAGGUGAGGAUGACGUCAAGUCAGCACGCCCCUUAUGCCUUGGGCUACACACGUGCUACAAUGGCUAGGACAAAGAGUUGCGAGCUCGCAAGAGUCAGCUAAUCUCAUAAACUUAGUCUAAGUUCGGAUUGUAGGCUGCAACUCGCCUACAUGAA